UUUAAACGACAAUAUAUUCUUAAUAUCAAGAUAUAUAGUCGCGGCACCUGCAACGUAAACUCAAAAAUAUUUAAUUUAAAAUCAUAAUGCAAAAAAGAAAAUGGCGGUAUGGCCAUUUCGGGAACAGUAAUUUCGGCAACGUUCCCGGACCACGGCGAGCAAGUCAAACACACUUUAAAUAUUAUGUUUUAAUUAAAUUUGAGAUUUUUCGGUAAAAAACGUUCCCGAAAUACAUAACUUUUUAGCCCCUCAUUCAGUACGUUUCGCGAUAAAUUAAAAAAUAUGGUCAGUUCGUGCUCUACCCAGUCAUAAACUAAAUUGACGACGACAUAAUUCAAGUCGUAACAGUGUAAAAUCAAUUUAAUAAUAAAUAUAAAAUGUUUGCUUUUACCGCAACUAAAUUCUCCACCUCCAUGAUUUUGACCCAUAUACGAUUUUUAACUUAAAUCGCCUCCUCGAAAUCUUAUCGGAUCAGUCUAAUACUUUACAUUUCUCUGUCUAUACAUAUUAAAACGAAUAAUAAGUAUAUUACAACAAAUAAUUUAAGUAUUGAAAAUAUGUAUAUAAGCAGCAUUUGUUAACGAAUUUUCAUUAUUAAAAAUAGAUGAAGAGACUGGUUGUUCUGUAAGUGAUUAUACCAUUUCGAUACGUCGGCGGUGGAAUUAUGAAAACAAUUGCGCUGCAAUUGUUUGCUACGUGUCGACAGGCUUGGCAUCAUCAACCACACAAUUGACUCAAUUAAGCGAGGAUAUACUAAGCAAUCAUUGCCGACUUGCACAAAUCCUUAGUGCCGAAAAUCUCGACGAAAUAUUAACAUACACAGUUAACCGAUUGCUCAAAGAUUAUCCUAUCGCGAAACGAAUAACAGACUCAAAGGAAUCGGACCAUAUUCGAGAAACAGACGAUACUACCCAUUCGAAUUCUGCAACAAACAACAGCAACUUAAAUAUCACAUGCUUAGGUGGGGAUAAUUUAACUGCCUAUUACAUACCAGCAAUUCACCUGAAAGUGUUCUACCAAGUAACUGCUGCACCGUCCGUGGAAUUGCUGCUGAAUGCACUUUAUGAUUUUCGGCUUAAAUGCCAGGAGACCGCCAACAUUGUAUACACCGUUUUGCCCGCCUGUAGUUUACACAAUUUUAGUACUUUCUUAUCUAUAUGCGGUGUACGCCAUGAAUAAAUACGAAUUACGACGCCACAAGACUUAUUGUAAUAUUACAUUUUAUCUACAUAUGUACACUUAGUUAAAAAACCAACUUAUGCCAUCGAACUAAAUAUUAUUCUUUUUUUUU